rnacentral:rRNA from 1 species
UACGUAGGGUGCGAGCGUUGUCCGGAAUUAUUGGGCGUAAAGGGCUCGUAGGCGGUUUGUCGCGUCGGGAGUGAAAACCCAGGGCUUAACCCUGGGCUGGCUUCCGAUACGGGCAGACUAGAGGUAUGCAGGGGAGAACGGAAUUCCUGGUGUAGCGGUGAAAUGCGCAGAUAUCAGGAGGAACACCAAUGGCGAAGGCAGCGCGCUGGGACGGUACUGACGCUGAGACGCGAAAGCGUGGGGAGCAAACAGG